rnacentral:rRNA from 1 species
AAUGAACGUUGGCGGCGUGGAUUAGGCAUGCAAGUCGUGCGGCAGCAGGCCCCGCAAGGGGUGCUGGCGAGCGGCGAAAGGGAUAGUAAUGUGUGGAUACCUGCCCUGGGGACGGGGAUAGCUGCUGGAAACGGCAAUUAAUACCCGAUGAUGUCUCCGGACCAAAGGUGUAAUUCCGCCCUAGGAGGGGUCCACAUCCUAUUAGCUAGUUGGUGAGGUAACGGCUCACCAAGGCCACGAUGGGUAGCGGGUGUGAGAGCACGACCCGCAUCACUGGGACUGAGACACUGCCCAGACACCUACGGGUGGCUGCAGUCGAGGAUCUUCGGCAAUGAGCGAAAGCUUGACCGAGCGACGCCGCGUGCGGGAUGAAGGCCCUCGGGUUGUAAACCGCUUUCGGAGGGGAGGAAAUCUAGGGGGGAUCACCCUUCUAGUUGACCUAUCCUAGGAAGAAGGACGGGCUAAGUUCGUGCCAGCCGCCGCGGUAAUAC